GCUGAUUUCUGAGGUCCUGGUGG
rnacentral:siRNA from 1 species